UGCGUAGGCGGCUAGAUAAGUCAGAGGUGAAAUGCUACGGCUUAACUGUGGAAUUGCCUUUGAAACUAUAUAGCUAGAAUAGAGUUGAGGUUGGCGGAAUGUGACAUGUAGCGGUGAAAUGCAUAGAUAUGUCAUAGAACAUCGAUUGCGAAGGCAGCUAACUGGGCUUUUAUUGAGCUGAGGCACGAAAGCGUGGGGAUCAAACA
rnacentral:rRNA from 1 species